UACGGAGGGGGCUAGCGUUGUUCGGAAUUACUGGGCGUAAAGCGUACGUAGGCGGCUUUGUAAGUUAGAGGUGAAAGCCCGGGGCUCAACUCCGGAAUUGCCUUUAAGACUGCAUUGCUUGAAUCAUGGAGAGGUGAGUGGAAUUCCGAGUGUAGAGGUGAAAUUCGUAGAUAUUCGGAAGAACACCAGUGGCGAAGGCGACUCACUGGACAUGUAUUGACGCUGAGGUACGAAAGCGUGGGGAGCAAACAGG
rnacentral:rRNA from 1 species